GGAUAAGAAAUAUCAAGCAUGUUUUUUUUUCUCAUUAUGUUAGCUCACUAGGUUUAAGGAUAUUAAUCAGGAUGUUAGUUUUAUCUUUUGAAUUAUUAUUGUUUUUAUCUUUUGAAUUAUUGUUGGUUUUAUCGUUUUGAUUGUGUCACAUUUUGUAUCCUUAGCUUUGUUGCCUUUACUAUAUAUUCACAGUUGAAGGCUGUACAACAACUUCAUUAUUUUCAUAUAAAUUUGUGGCUGAACAGUUAUCUGCCAAAUUAAACCAAAGAAGGGAUGACUAGAAGAUUAAUUACAAUUGAGCUUGAAUUUGAGAAGAAACAAACUAGUUACAUAAUUGAUAAGAUGGUGGUAAAUAGUAAAUGUGUUAUUGUACAGUCUAUACAAAACUAAUGUUUACUUCUAUCGCUAUUAUGCAAUACUGAAAUGCAGAACUAGUGUUGUAGAAUAAAAAUAUAAAGACUAGUUGUUUCAGUUUACUACAUUAGAGAAUAAUUACAAUCAAAACAUAUGAACAACUUUUAAAGAAAGGGAUAAUAAAUAUAUCACAAGAAGUUGCACGCGUGCCGUACUAAAUAUGCACUCAUUCGGCAUUUAAAGUACCGGGAAAGAUGUGUCGGUCGAAUUCGAUGAUCAUAUGCGUCAACCCAUUUCUGUCAUGCUGCCGACCAAAUAUGAAGUCAUUAUGUUCACUACAACCUUAGAGAGGUGUAAACUUUGAAUAACGAACGGACGAUCGGACAAGGGUGUUGUUAUAAACGAGUGGGGUAGAAUAAAUGAUUUUGUAGCAGUGUUGAAGUAAAUUCCUGCUGAUAGAUUGUAUUUCUAUCACAGCUGAAACCAUUCUUCCAAUCAUUCAGUCAUUUCUGAAUUUCAUGAUUACGUGUCGUUCACGACAAUAUCAAAAUAAAGAUAUCCACCAGAGUCCAAAUGACGCGGUCGUAAGCAACUAUAAAAAGUUAAACUACAAAAAUUCCGAGGGAAAUACAAAAUAGAAAGUCCAUAAUCUUAUGUCAAACGAAUGGACAACAACUGUUAUAUUCCUGACUUGGUACAGACAUUUUCUUAUGUAGACAAUUGUGGAUCAAACCUGGUUGUAUAGCUAGCUAAACCUCUCACUUGUAUGACAGUCGCAUUAAAUUCGAUUAUAUGACAACAAUAUAUGUGAACAAAACAAACAGACAUAAUAGGUAAAAAUGUCAAAAUAGGGGUUCAACAUUCCAGAUUAUGUUAUAAUAUCAAUCACUAUAAAACAAACAAAUAUGUAACAAAGAAACACAAAGGAACAUAUAGACAAAGCACAAACGCAAACAUGAAAUACCAUAGCACAAUAACACGAUGACGGGAUGCACAAGUACCAAGCCACGUCAAAUGGAUGUCACAAACAGUUCACCAAACACUAAAUGUAAUAUUUAAAAAGACUAUUAUAAAAGAAUACUAGCACACGUUAUAAAAAAGAGGCACGAAAGAUACCAGAGGGACAGUCAAACUCAUUUAUCGAAAAUAAACUGAUAUUAUUAAGAUGAUACACAACUUCAGUACCCAGAAUCUAUACUUCAAGACCAUUGUGUAUAAUUUGUUGAUAGGAAUAUUUAUCAACAAAAACAUCAAUGAUACGAGGCCAUGUGCACCAAUCCCAUAUAAAAUUAUAAGUCGUAUUUGAAAGUACAUAUUUGAAGAAAGAAGACGGAACUAUAGUUUAAGAUAAUUAAAACAUAUCCGUCGUCAUCUGUCAACAAAUACUCAAAUUACGGUCAACCAACUAGUGAUGGUCCGUAAAGCUUUGGAAGCAACGACUUCUACCUUACCACUUGAACUCUUGGUUUAAAAGGUUUUUUGUAAGCAACAAC
rnacentral:lncRNA from 1 species